UACGGAGGGGGCUAGCGUUGUUCGGAAUUACUGGGCGUAAAGCGCACGUAGGCGGACCAGAAAGUUGGGGGUGAAAUCCCGGGGCUCAACCUCGGAACUGCCUUCAAAACUAUUGGUCUUGAGUUCGAGAGAGGUGAGUGGAAUUCCGAGUGUAGAGGUGAAAUUCGUAGAUAUUCGGAAGAACACCAGUGGCGAAGGCGGCUCACUGGACUGGUAUUGACGCUGAGGUGCGAAAGCGUGGGGAGCAAACA
rnacentral:rRNA from 1 species